UUAGAUACAUUUAUUAUGACGAGAAUAUAUAUAUAUAAAAAAAUUUUGUAUAGCUAUGUUUUUUCUAUCUCUAGUAUUGUGCGUAUAAAAGAGAAGCUCAUAUCGUUUUUAUUUUUAUUUAUUUUUUUUUUUUUCAUAAAACAAAUUUCGAUUUUUAUAAUAUUAUUUAUAGGUAUUUACGAUUUUUAUUUUUUUCCAGUUUUAAAAGCUCAACUUUGACGUCUUCUGAUAAUAUUGUAUGUUAUAAUGUUAUAAUAUAUUAUUUGUCUUACACAUUGAAUUAAUACGUUUUUAGAUAAAAUAUACAUAUAAAUCAUGUAAUAAUAUUUUUAUAGACGUGUAAAAUCUAUUACACACAAUAAUAUUAGAUAUAUUGUAAUAUCGUAUGAUGAUCAUCAUUACCAUUUUGUCUUAAUUUCUGUCAUUGUAGCCAAUUUCUCUGUCAUGAGUCACAGACUGUAUAAACAUCCCAUCGGCUGCUCGAUAUCAUUGAAAAUUGAUUUGCGGGCCUCACCUCGUAGCCUCCUUCCUUGCACUCUCCCUUUCACACGGUAUUGGUAAAUGAAAUUAUUAUGGCUCGUCAAAUGACCAGUUAAUUUCAUUUUUCUCCCCGUAUUGAGUUGUGUUGGAUACAAAAGUAUGUUCUUUUUUAUUAAAUUCUUCUGGGAUUGCUUCGUCAAUUGCUUUCUCUUCCACUCAGUCGGUCCUCGUCAUUCUUCGCUACAACCACAUCAUUUCCAUCACCUCCAACCACUCACGUUCGUGAUAUUUUCCCAUCGCCCAAGUUUCACAACUAUAAAGUAAAAUCGCGAUGAAACUUGGACGAUGGGAAAUGGGACGAUGUACGAUUAUAUAUUACUUAAUGUAAUACAGUAAAAUAUUUUUUUUUUUUCAUAUUAUACGACUCCGAGUCGUUUACAUACAAAUAUUAAUACAUUGAUAAUAUUGUCGAGUGCCCAUAAAUUAUAAUAUACACAAUAGACUUAAUCGCACGCAUUUAGAUUUCGUCAACUGAUCUUUACUAAAACAUUUUUGAACUACUAAAAAACUAAAACCCUACACUAAAUAGUACAAUAUAGUGUCGUCGAAAUGCAAAUAAUAUUAUGCAUUCAUUAUUAGAGGGUAAAUUAUAUUAUACGUUAUUACAUACUAGAGGAAUCAAUAGAGUACCAAAUUAUUUAAAUAUUAACAAUAAUUUUACAAUAAAAAUAAAGUGUCAUUGUUCUUGAUACCUAUACAGGUAUUCUAUUAUAACUGGGGGGGAGGAAUAUUCUAAAUUUGUAUGAUAAAUAUACGACGAUGUACGAUCGUAAUGGAACAAUAUUAUUAAUAUAUUAUUAUUGUUGUUAAACAAUAAGAAAUAAAAAAUAAAAUACAGACUGACAUUACUAAACAUUAACGAGAAAUAAUUAAUAAUAUUAUUUAGAAACGCUUUUUUUUUUACGUUAUAAUAAAUUAAUAUUUAUAAAUUAUAAUGUAUAAUAUUUAUAUAGCGCGUGUAUUGUAAGAAAAUAUUGUAAGAAAAAAAAACCCGUUUACAUUGUGAUUAUUGACAUAAUAUUUACGUAUACCCGCCCGAUUUAUAACUAUAUACAUAAACCGUGGUAUAUUAUUAAUUAUUAUUGUAUUCGCAUUUUAUUCGGAUAUACAUUUUUACGAUAUUAUUAAUUAUAUAUUAUUACAAUCGAUCAUCGAUGUUAUUGUGUUUUAGUUUCCGGUGAUUUUUACGAAAUAUUUUAAAAAUAACAUUGUUAAUAAUUUAUCGCGUUUUAUAGCGGUGACUGCCGGGGAGUACGCGCCAAAUAUUAAUUAUUACCGUUAUUUAUUUAUUUAUUAUUAAUAUUUCCGGAGAGAUUGAUAAGAUCGAAUUUGUCGUGGAAAUCCGUUUACGAAAAUACAGUAUUGGUAAAUCGUAGAGGCUUGACCUGAGCCGAAUCACGCUUAAUACGUCAAUCGAAUUGCAAUCGGGUUGAAAAAUAACAAAAAGGUAAUAGUCGAACUGCACAUGGGCCAAGAAAAUGUGUGGAAAAUAAACUUAAUUUUAAAUAAAAAAUACCUUAUACUCAAAUAAUAUAAUAUAAUAAAGUGUAUGAGCCACGGGUAUAAUAUACUAUAUAACAAUACAUAUACAGGCUGUCCCACGAAGAUAUACCUCUUGAAUAUUUCCGGAGAUAAUAAAGAUAAUCAAAUUCUGUUUUUUUUUUUUUAUAUUACUCACAGGAAUGAGGACUAAAAAUAUUUAUUUUUUAAUUAAGUCUUUUUCUGUUAUUAAAAACAUUUAAAUAUAACUUUAUUUUACUAAUUUUAAAAUAGCCAUUCUAUAAAGAUUAUUAUUCUGAAAAUUUUAAUACAUCACACAUUUAUAUCCAAU
rnacentral:lncRNA from 1 species